GUGGCAAAAGUGGCACUGUUCCCUUGAAGAAAGGGGAGGGUAGAUAAGGCAAGAAAAUAAUUGGUGGAUUAAUAUCAAUAUAAAAGAAACCUGAGAGAGAGAAAGAGCAGCAUUCGAGCCAUGAUGAAGACUUUGUGUGUUGGUUUUGUUGUCGUCCUGAGUCUCACCUCAGUGUGCAAGCCUCUGCCAUUGGUCGGUGAAAGGUCAGAGGAUCAAAGUCUAGAUCUGACUGGUUAUUGGUAUGCCAUUGCUGUUGCCUCUGAUGUCUGUUGGCUUAAGACAUUUUUUGGUUCUUCUCUUAAACCAAGUUUUUCACUUGGUUUUUUAAGGGGCACACCAAACCUUUAUGCUACCACCAUCAGGAUGAAAUGGUAUGGACUUUGCCUCCAAAGAACACAAACGUUUUUUGAGAAACAACCAAACGUUUGCUGUUGACAGAAACAAUGACACAAUUGGAAUGCCGGGAUCAACUGUGCUGCUGCAAAUUGGCUGUCCUGACUGCAUAGUUUUAAAAUAUGAAGACUUCUCAAACACUUUGCUUCUCCUCAGUAGGAGAACAAAUAUCACUGCUACUCAGCUGAAGGAGUUUAGGAAACAGGCAGCAUAUUACGGCUUGCCAAACCCUAAUUUGAUCAGCUCAGAUCAUGACUACAAAAAUUGCACUCAAAUGUUACCUGACACACCUGAACCAGAUUUCCUGCUUCAGGAGUACAAUCCCUGGAAAGGUUGGCAAUCGAGUAUACAGAGUGUGUUCUUGAGAGAUUUCCUCAAUAUUCCAGAGAUACCUUUGAUUGGCUUCAGCAUUUUCAAAGGUCUGCUGGAGGACUGCACUAAAGCAUCACUGUAAAAGAUGUUCUACAAUUCACUUAGCAAAUGCUUUUGUCCAAAGAGUAAGUACAACAGUAAUCCAUUCAUACACCUCCACCAAAGCAGCGGGGAUUGAACCCUCAAUCUUCCAGUUGAGAGGCAACGACUCUACCAACUGAACCAUAGCCGCUGAUGUCAUUUCAUAGGUCAUGUCUCGCAAAAAGCAUACAAACUAUUUCAUUAAAUCUACUUAUUUUUCAAUGAUUAUAAGCAAAUAAAUUAAUA